rnacentral:tRNA from 1 species
GGGGGUGAGGCGUAACGGUAGCGCAGCUCUUGGCUCUGGAGCAGGAUGCCGGGUUCGACUCCCGGUCGCCUCCAC